rnacentral:lncRNA from 1 species
UAAAAAUGAAAUUGAAAGAUAUUAUAAUUAGUACUUCUAACUAAAAUAACUGUUAGGGUGCGUUUGGUUCGCGCUAUCUUUUAAAGAUUCCUAGUAAUCCAAUGAAAAUAAAAAAAUAUGACGGUGUUUGGCUAUACGCACUAAGUAAUCUAGUUGAUAAUAUUGAAUUUAUUUGGGAAUAAGAUUCACCCCAAAGUACUAAUCUCAUUUCCUUGAGGGAGGGUGGGUAUCCUCAUAUUAAUGGAUUGGGGUAAUCAUAAUAUGUCUAAUCUCUUUCUUUCUUCCUACCCACCGGUUAAUUGAUAUUAUUUUUCUUUACACUCUAACCUUAUAUUUCUCUCUAAACUUAUUUUUCUCUCUAAAAUUCAACUUUUUUUCCUCUCUAAACUAAGCUUUUUCUCUCUCUCUCUUUCUAAAAUUUCAACUCUCUCACUCCCUCUAAUUUCGACUAUAUUUUUCUUUUUAUUUUUUCAAUUAUGCUCUCCCUCUCUAACUUAUACUCUCUCUCCCUUUUUUCUAAAAAGAUAUUGAAACUUUUGGUAACAUUAUAUAAAAUUCAUUAAAUAAAUAAAUAAAUAAAUUGUAUAUUUAUUGUAAUAUUAAAUAAUAUGGCUAAUUAAUAUUAUCGUGUGAACCAAAUACAAAAAUUUCACAUUCUUAGUAAUAGAAUGAAUAGGAAUAAAAUUUUUGGGUAUUUUUUAUUCCUAGUAAUCUUUCAUAAUGCGAACCAAACGCAUCCUUACAGAAAACACUUUCCCCUACAAGUUGACUCUUUCUCCAUCAUUGCAUAUCCCACUCUCUUCUUAUAU